rnacentral:rRNA from 1 species
UACGGGGGGGGCAAGCGUUGUUCGGAAUUACUGGGCGUAAAGGGCUCGUAGGCGGCCAACUAAGUCAGACGUGAAAUCCCUCGGCUUAACCGGGGAACUGCAUCUGAUACUGGAUGGCUUGAAUCCGGGAGAGGGAUGCGGAAUUCCAGGUGUAGCGGUGAAAUGCGUAGAUAUCUGGAGGGACACCGGUGGCGAAGGCGGCAUCCUGGACCGGCAUUGACGCUGAGGAGCGAAAGCCAGGGGAGCAAACGGG